rnacentral:rRNA from 1 species
CAUUAAUUUGAGAGUUUGAUCCUGGCUCAGGACGAACGCUGGCGGCGUGCCUAAUACAUGCAAGUCGAACGAACUCUGGUAUUGAUUGGUGCUUGCAUCAUGAUUUACAUUUGAGUGAGUGGCGAACUGGUGAGUAACACGUGGGAAACCUGCCCAGAAGCGGGGGAUAACACCUGGAAACAGAUGCUAAUACCGCAUAACAACUUGGACCGCAUGGUCCGAGUUUGAAAGAUGGCUUCGGCUAUCACUUUUGGAUGGUCCCGCGGCGUAUUAGCUAGAUGGUGAGGUAACGGCUCACCAUGGCAAUGAUACGUAGCCGACCUGAGAGGGUAAUCGGCCACAUUGGGACUGAGACACGGCCCAAACUCCUACGGGAGGCAGCAGUAGGGAAUCUUCCACAAUGGACGAAAGUCUGAUGGAGCAACGCCGCGUGAGUGAAGAAGGGUUUCGGCUCGUAAAACUCUGUUGUUAAAGAAGAACAUAUCUGAGAGUAACUGUUCAGGUAUUGACGGUAUUUAACCAGAAAGCCACGGCUAACUACGUGCCAGCAGCCGCGGUAAUACGUAGGUGGCAAGCGUUGUCCGGAUUUAUUGGGCGUAAAGCGAGCGCAGGCGGUUUUUUAAGUCUGAUGUGAAAGCCUUCGGCUCAACCGAAGAAGUGCAUCGGAAACUGGGAAACUUGAGUGCAGAAGAGGACAGUGGAACUCCAUGUGUAGCGGUGAAAUGCGUAGAUAUAUGGAAGAACACCAGUGGCGAAGGCGGCUGUCUGGUCUGUAACUGACGCUGAGGCUCGAAAGUAUGGGUAGCAAACAGGAUUAGAUACCCUGGUAGUCCAUACCGUAAACGAUGAAUGCUAAGUGUUGGAGGGUUUCCGCCCUUCAGUGCUGCAGCUAACGCAUUAAGCAUUCCGCCUGGGGAGUACGGCCGCAAGGCUGAAACUCAAAGGAAUUGACGGGGGCCCGCACAAGCGGUGGAGCAUGUGGUUUAAUUCGAAGCUACGCGAAGAACCUUACCAGGUCUUGACAUACUAUGCAAAUCUAAGAGAUUAGACGUUCCCUUCGGGGACAUGGAUACAGGUGGUGCAUGGUUGUCGUCAGCUCGUGUCGUGAGAUGUUGGGUUAAGUCCCGCAACGAGCGCAACCCUUAUUAUCAGUUGCCAGCAUUAAGUUGGGCACUCUGGUGAGACUGCCGGUGACAAACCGGAGGAAGGUGGGGAUGACGUCAAAUCAUCAUGCCCCUUAUGACCUGGGCUACACACGUGCUACAAUGGAUGGUACAACGAGUUGCGAACUCGCGAGAGUAAGCUAAUCUCUUAAAGCCAUUCUCAGUUCGGAUUGUAGGCUGCAACUCGCCUACAUGAAGUCGGAAUCGCUAGUAAUCGCGGAAUCAGCAUGCCGCGGUGAAUACGUUCCCGGGCCUUGUACACACCGCCCGUCACACCAUGAGAGUUUGUAACACCCAAAGUCGGUGGGGUAACCUUUUAGGAACCAGCCGCCUAAGGUGGGACAGAUGAUUAGGGUGAAGUCGUAACAAGGUAGCCGUAGGAGAACCUGCGGCUGGAUCACCUCCUUUC